UACGUAGGGUGCGAGCGUUAAUCGGAAUUACUGGGCGUAAAGCGCACGUAGGCGGAUACUUAAGUUAGGGGUGAAAUCCCGGGGCUCAACCCCGGAACUGCCUUUAAUACUGGGUAUCUCGAGUUCGAGAGAGGUGAGUGGAAUUCCGAGUGUAGAGGUGAAAUUCGUAGAUAUUCGGAGGAACACCAGUGGCGAAGGCGGCUCACUGGCUCGAUACUGACGCUGAGGUGCGAAAGCGUGGGGAGCAAACAGG
rnacentral:rRNA from 1 species